rnacentral:lncRNA from 1 species
CCCAGAGACCCAGGAAAAAGGAAGGGGUUCAGCAGCCUUCUGUGAUGGCUGACGUCCCUGAGGUGGAAGGCUGGGGAGGGACAAGAUAUACGUCAUUGCCUAAUCCAUUCACUGAUUCUAUGCUCAAGGUCACAUCUCCUCCGUUGGACAGGUCAAAGCGGGAGAGCUUGGAAGGAGGACAAGGAACCAGAUGUAGAGAUGUUCUGUAGGUGGAGAGCCAGCUCCUUCAGGUUCUGUUCACCACCGAGGAAUGAGAGAAGAUCCAAAAUGAGGCCAGGAAAUUGGUUUCUGGUGACAAUGGUCAACCCACCACCAAUGCUGACACUAUCAACACUUCUUUUCCUCUGUCUCAACUCAACUGGGACUUCAACAUGGCAGAAGGUAAGGAGAG